AGCGGAGGAAAAGAAACCAACUGGGAUUACCUUAGUAACGGCGAGUGAGCGGUAAAAGCUCAAAUUUGAAAUCUGGUACUUUCAGUGCCCGAGUUGUAAUUUGUAGAAUUUGUCUUUGAUUAGGUCCUUGUCUAUGUUCCUUGGAACAGGACGUCAUAGAGGGUGAGAAUCCCGUUUGGCGAGGAUACCUUUUCUCUGUAAGACUUUUUCGAAGAGUCGAGUUGUUUGGGAAUGCAGCUCAAAGUGGGUGGUAAAUUCCAUCUAAAGCUAAAUAUUGGCGAGAGACCGAUAGCGAACAAGUACAGUGAUGGAAAGAUGAAAAGAACUUUGAAAAGAGAGUGAAAAAGUACGUGAAAUUGUUGAAAGGGAAGGGCAUUUGAUCAGACAUGGUGUUUUUUGCAUGCACUCGCCUCUCGUGGGCUUGGGCCUCUCAAAAAUUUCACUGGGCCAACAUCAAUUCUGGCAGCAGGAUAAAUCAUUAAGAAUGUAGCUACUUCGGUAGUGUUAUAGCUUUUUGGAAUACUGUUAGCCGGGAUUGAGGACUGCGCUUCGGCAAGGAUGUUGGCAUAAUGGUUAAAUGCCGCCCGUCUUGA
rnacentral:rRNA from 1 species